GGCAUGUGCCACCACUGCCUGUCAAGUUGUGAUUUUUUUUUUUUAAUAAAUCAAAACUAUGGCUCAUUUUCCUGUCGUUUCAAAAUGACUCCUUUAAAAUUCUAGUUCUGUUCCUAAAAUGAACUGAGUACUCUUUUUAUUUCCUUAGCAGUGUAACAAGAUGCUUUGCCUUUAUAACUUCUGACUACCAGCAUGCUCCACACAGGACUAAGAACUUCAGAACUCUAAAGAAGCAUAUGGUAUGCUAUCCAUCUGGGAGUAACUUAAGGAAUAAAGCGUACCUAUGAAUGACCAGAAUUACAAACAUACACAGAGGACGCCAGAGUACUAUCCCCUACUGACAAGACUACCAUGGGGCUCAGUCGAUGAGUGCUGAAUAAGAAGUGAUUAGAAGGCUCAGCACAGGAGAGAAGCAAGUCCUGAGUAGGGACUCUGAGUCUUGAAUUAAGGUUUAGGAUUUUUCAUUUUUGUUAAUAGCGUUUCCUAGAAUGCCAUUCAGUUUUUAACCCAGACUGGCCUAGAACCCGAAGUCCUCCUGCCUGCCUCCCAGGUGCCAGAAUCACAGAUGUGUUGUCCUGUGCCUAGCUUUGAACUACGUUAUUUUUGUGGACUUUCAUUUGAUGGCUGUUUUAUUUUCUUCUUUUGCAGGAGUUGUUUUCAGACAGGGUUUCACUCUGUAGUCCACAUGGGCAGGGCUGAAACUGUAUUCCAGAGUGGCCUCAAACCCAUGGCAAUCUUUCUGCCAUUGCUGGAAUUACUGCUGGAAUUACAGAUGUUAUCUUCAUCCUGCUUCCUGAUCCACCUCUAUGCCUUCUCUGACAUUGUGCCUCCACCAUCAUUUGGAAUGAUAAGCCAAAAUAAACUCUCUUCUAU